CGGUGCUGCGCUGCCCAGUUGCGAGGCAGGAAGCCAGAGGAGUGUCCUGUCCUUACACUUUCUGAAACCUAUUGGAAAUCGAUUUCGGACUGGGUUCUCUGUCGAGGUUGAUAUGCAGCGUGGAUUUGGGUUUUGGGUUUUCGUUUUUUUACCAGAGAGGUUUUUUAAAAAAAUUUUUAUUAGCACAGCAGACCCACCCCCAAUUGCCAUAGAGAGCUGUGGGCACCGGUGAACGCAGCUAGGACGCGGUGGCAGAAAUCCACUGGAGAUGGUUUCAAGAUAUAGGAUCCUUAUAUGUGAGGUAUCCCAAAUGAAGUUGGAGCAUCCAUGUUGAAAUUGCUUCAUGUUGUGGUAAGAGGAAAGUGAUUCUUAA
rnacentral:lncRNA from 1 species